AAGAUGCAUUAUCAUGGCUGUAAACACAGGUUCUGCACGUGUCUAAGUUCAGCCCCAAACCCACAUGAAGAACUUAUUUCCAGACAGCUCCUACUCUUAUGGUGGCUCCAGACCCUGCCCCAUGCAGAAGGCACUUCUCAAGUUCCAGGACCAGGGCUUCAGCCACAGCACUCGCAAAACCCCACAGAUACAGUGCCAAUGACAGAAAUUAAGAUUAACUGGGGGCGACACAGAUUUCUGUGAAUGCCAGUGCUGUCAGAUGCUUCCUGAUAGUACUUUCUAGAGUAAAAGAACUUCGGGAAAAGUAAAAGCAGCAAAUGGUAACACCCUCAUGGAGAUCUCAGGGCUGCAGAACAAGCACUUUGAGUGCUGAAGACUUCUCCCAUCUCCACGUCCCUAACUGUCCCCAUGCAGAUUCCAGGAUCCACACAUCAGAGGCAUCUGCCACUGAGCUGGGUGUGAAAUCUGAAGACCAGGGUGUAGAGGCAAGCACUGAAGGCCCAUGAUCAGCCGUGGGAGCCACGGGAAUCAAUUGCUUCCAGUACGACUGGAUGCAUCGGAAAGAGCCUGGGGCAAGGCUGGAGGCCACAAGAGGAGCUGCCAGGCCACAUAAGCAGGGAACAAAGCCGAUGAUCACACGCCCAUCAGUGAGCCAACUUGGUGAAGGGAAAUGCCCAAGUUCUCAGCACCUGCAGAGCCUAAGACAUAACAAGCAGCAUGCCCUGACGCUCACCAAGGCCAGGUGCUGUGGUGAGUGCUCUACCUGUUUCUGUACAGAAGAGAAAUCAGAAUGCCAGAGACAUGAAGAAACUUCUCCAGGGUCAUGUAAUCACCAAAUAAUGUCUGCUUCGACCAUCUCUGCAUUUUGUGCUACACCAAGAUUUAAGCAGCUGUUCAAAGGAACUGUAGAACAGAUGUCACAGAUGUAACUAUUCUUGAAAGGAAGUCAGAUUUCAUAGAUGGAAAGACUGCCCUUUUCCAUUUGCCUCCUCCAGACCCAUAACUUUGGAUAGGGGGGUUUUAUUGUCCGUGAGGCUUAUGCAUAUGUCAGAAGAAUGUCCAAGCAGAGGAAUCUAAGUGGCAGACCCCCCAGGAUAGGAAAGAAGAAGGACGCUCGUGCUGACACUUCCAGAACACUCUUCACGUUUUGUGACAUAUGUGCUUGUCGAGUGAUCUUAAGACAGCUGGAUGUCCGAACCAUGCAGUAAUAGCAGAGAACCUGCGGAAGGAGAAGCUUCCCAGGACGUUCUGAGGGCUUAUGCCGGGUGCAGGCUUUCCUUCCCGCAACAUCCCUGAGUCCAGAGAAGAAAUAAUCCCCUGCCCUGUGGGCCAAGCACUUACAGCAACAGCACUUUGAGUUUGCUGUGCUUAGAUUCACUUGUGGAACUUGUUAAAAAUAUAAAAUUCCAGACCCCACCUCC